rnacentral:rRNA from 1 species
AUUGGACGCUGGCGGCAGGCUUAACACAUGCAAGUCGAGCGGGGUGAUGGUGCUUGCACUAUCACUUAGCGGCGGACGGGUGAGUAAUGCUUAGGAAUCUGCCUAUUAGUGGGGGACAACAUCUCGAAAGGGAUGCUAAUACCGCAUACGUCCUACGGGAGAAAGCAGGGGAUCACUUGUGACCUUGCGCUAAUAGAUGAGCAUCAGUCGGAUUAGCUAGUUGGUGGGGUAAAGGCCUACCAAGGCGACGAUCUGUAGCGGGUCUGAGAGGAUGAUCCGCCACACUGGGACUGAGACACGGCCCAGACUCCUACGGGAGGCAGCAGUGGGGAAUAUUGGACAAUGGGGGGAACCCUGAUCCAGCCAUGCCGCGUGUGUGAAGAAGGCCUUAUGGUUGUAAAGCACUUUAAGCGAGGAGGAGGCUCUUUUGGUUAAUACCCAAGAUGAGUGGACGUUACUCGCAGAAUAAGCACCGGCUAACUCUGUGCCAGCCGCCGCGGUAA